UACGGUAGGGCGCAAGCGUUGUCCGGAAUUAUUGGGCGUAAAGAGCUCGUAGGCGGUUUGUCGCGUCUGGCUGUGAAAACCUAAGGCUCAACCUUGGGCUUGCAGUGGGUACGGGCAGACUAGAGUGCGGUAGGGGUGACUGGAAUUCCUGGUGUAGCGGUGGAAUGCGCAGAUAUCGGGGAGGAACACCCGUAGCGGAAGGCGGUUCUCUGGGCCAAUAC
rnacentral:rRNA from 1 species